rnacentral:rRNA from 1 species
GACGAACGCUGGCGGCGUGCUUAACACAUGCAAGUCGAACGAAGAGCGAUGGAAGCUUGCUUCUAUCAAUCUUAGUGGCGAACGGGUGAGUAACGCGUAAUCAACCUGCCCUUCAGAGGGGGACAACAGUUGGAAACGACUGCUAAUACCGCAUACGAUCUAAUCUCGGCAUCGAGGAUAGAUGAAAGGUGGCCUCUACAUGUAAGCUAUCACUGAAGGAGGGGAUUGCGUCUGAUUAGCUAGUUGGAGGGGUAACGGCCCACCAAGGCGAUGAUCAGUAGCCGGUCUGAGAGUAUGAACGGCCACAUUGGGACUGAGACACGGCCCAGACUCCUACGGGAGGCAGCAGUGGGGAAUCUUCCGCAAUGGACGAAAGUCUGACGGAGCAACGCCGCGUGAGUGAUGACGGCCUUCGGGUUGUAAAGCUCUGUUAAUCGGGACGAAAGGCCUUCUUGCGAAUAGUGAGAAGGAUUGACGGUACCGGAAUAGAAAGCCACGGCUAACUACGUG